AUGAGUGGUCGCGAGCGCAGUAGAAACCGAACCUGGUCGUUGGAUUCGGACCUUGACUCGCGUGCGUCCCAGACAGUGGGCAGUUCGGCAGGGGGUCUUGAGGAGGACAAGGAGGUCGCCUCGCAAGCUGUCCUGUUCUUCAUCAACGGUUCGAGGAGAGGUGCAGUGCACCUGUGCUCGAGUAUAGCCGAGAUACUGCGCGAGAAUCAACGUCUGCACAGGACCGUAGAGGUCCAGAGGGUCCGAAUAGAGGAGCUGAUGUGCUCUCUGUCCACUGCUCCGGCUGCUCCCGUGGGUCUUUCAGAUUCCAACAGAUCCCAGACCAGCUCCACCUCUCCCUUCUCCUGCCUCCCCUCCAUCUCUCUCGCUGCCUCCUCCCCCUACCUCCUCUCUCCCCCAGCCAGUGUCUCACCCAGUGUGUCCUCCUUAUACAGCUCUGGGAGGGGCAGCCUGUGCUCUAACACCACACCCCCUUGCCUCCCUCCUCUGGUCCCCCUUCACAACCUUACCCCUCAGAGGAGACCGGCAGCAGUUCUGCCCUGUGUGAAAGAGUAUGAGAAGGAGGAUCCAGGAGAUGAGAGGAGAGGAAAGGAGAGGGGGAAGAAGAGAGGGGGAGAAAGGAGACAAGAAGACAACAGUCUUAUUCUACCCUCUGUAGAAGAAGCUCUGGGAUCACAACCCCUACCCAUCAUGCCUCACUCCUCCCAUAGUGACAGCAUAGCCAGAGAAAGAGUCAGGAGGGAGAAGGGCAACCUGUCGUCUGAGCAGGGUGGACAGACAUCGGACCGAAAACACACGCUGAAGAAAAGAGAGAAAGUCCUAAGGAGAAGUGCCUCAUGUGGACCUCUGAGGGGAGAGAUGGAGGAGACAAAAGAGGAGGAGAGGUGGUGUCUGGCCCCAGAUUGUCCUGACUCCUCGUCCACAGUCCAAGCAGCAGGAGGGCUGGACACCAGGGCAUUAACCACCAGGAGGAAGCACCGUCUGUGUGUGAAUGACCGUGUAGUGCUGGAGAGCAGGACGAGAGGAGAGGAGAGGAGAAGAGGAGCUGUGAGGUUUAUCGGACCACUGGAAAACACUGAGUCUAGAGACAUCUAUAUCGGAGUGGAAUUGGACACAGCCAGUGGAGAAAAUGAAGGCAGUCUCCAUGGUAACAGGUACUUCAGGUGUAAGCCCAACCAUGGAACAUUCACCACCAUCACGGGGAUCAGAAAGCUCUCUCGAUCAUCCCACUCCAAGUCUAGAAGCUCCAAACCUCCAGAUGAGGGUGACUCUAGUGACUCUGGGCCGGGGAGCUCUGCAGUGGCAAUGGGGAGGAGCAGCCGGAACGUUGGGAGUAGGAGCAGGAACGGGCUCAGAAGGACCUGGAACCAGAUGGACAUUAGACCUCAGGUCCAUUCAGAGCCAGGACCUAGAGACAAGACUACAGUGGAGAACCCUGGACUGGACUGA
rnacentral:lncRNA from 1 species